ACCGCGCAUUCGCCGUUCGAAUCCUUAUCAUCAUUAUUUUUACUUACAAUGUUAACUUUUCUCACUUCAUUUUCUACCUUCCAUGCACAUAUUUUGGACAAUUGUCUAUUUGUGUAUAGGAGUGAAACAUUAAUCGAAUCAUCUAAUAGCUGGUUCUCUCCGGUUUCCCUAAGGGUAGCUGAAAUCUGAACGACUAGUUAUACGCGGUAGAGUAAAUGAUUAGAGUAUUAGAGAGUGAACAUUUCAAACUUUGAAUUGGAACGGUACGCAGCUUUCGAUAACGAAGUUUUACGAACAAAACAUCUAUGGUUUAUUGGACUAAUAAGCAGAUCUGGCGAUGUGGGACGAACAGACAGUCGAGCUAAGGCGCCUGAUGCGAACGUUAAAUAGAUACCAUUAGAGGUGUUAACAGAGAAAGCAGGAUAAUGGCCCCGUAAGUUGACGUUCAAUGCAGUGUGUAACUGCUCACCUUCCGAAUCAACUAGCCUUGAAAAUGAAUGGGGCGUUCUACGCACAACUGACUGAAGUUAAAAUGAUUAGAAGCGAUGAUGUCCUAUAAAAUCAGUACGUGAGUCUUGUGCGAGCCAUCGUUGGCGCAGAUCAUGGU
rnacentral:ncRNA from 1 species